GCUCCGGGCGGCCGGGCGAGCGGCAGGACUCACCUUCGUCCGACUCGCGGCCCCGACAGCUGCGCUCGUCGUCCUCGGCGCUCUCCAGCUCUUCAUCCUCCUCGGGGUAGUACUCGGGGGCCGGCGGCGCUCCAGCCUGGGCCGGGGCCGGGGCCAGCAGCCCCGCGGCACUCAUGUCGCCUCUGACCGCAGCUGAGCGUGGCCCACGGACACCGCGGCCACCCGCGCUCGGUACUCGCCGUCUGCCUAGCAGUGUCCGCGGCAGCCCCCAACUCGAGGACCGGCAGCCACGGCGACCCCUUCCCCGUCUCCGCCGAGCUCCGCCCCCCGCGCCCGCGCUCGGCAACGGGGGCCUCGCGCCGCGAGCGACUUCCGGGUCGAGAGCUGCCCGACAACGGCCUGAUUCCGCCAUCCUUGGGGGAGUGGAGAUGCCGCUGGACGCCCCCGUCGCCACAACCUCAGCCCUUUCAUCGCCGUCUUAAAAUCCUCAACGUAUAGUGGGGGAGGGGCGGAGCCAGGUUCGCUAGAGUCAGGCAAAUCUACGGGCAGGCCCAGCAGCGGUCAGGACCCCGAGGCUCGCAGGCGACUUCCGGAGACAGCCGCCAGGCGGCGCCUGGAGCUAGAACUAAAGCGGUGAUCGUUAGCGACCUAGGGGCGGAGGGUUUGAAGGGCCCUUGGCAGGUGGAGGUGGUCUCUAAUUUAAGCAGGGAACGACGCGACCUGCCCCCUUAUUAGGUCGGAAAACCUAGACGUCCAGAGUGUGCGUGAUCAUGCAGCCUGGCUCCUCCUGUGACUAGUUAGAGCUUUAUUAAGAGCUAAAAGACAAGGAUGCUGAUAUUCCAUCCUGGGGACAGCAAAAUAGUAUUUUCCCAGCCCUUAGGAAUCCUUUCUGUUUGUGUAAGGUUUAUUCGGUAAGAUGUUCCCCCGGUUUUACAAAUGAGAAACGAGCUGUCGUUUGCCUAAAAAAAAAUAGUAACGUCCAGUCUGAUUUUUUAGACUCCGAGACCCAGGCCCUCCGCGGUACAGCUGCCUUGAAUAUUAAUUUUUUAAAAGGUGCUUUUGCUUAAUCCAACAGCUUGCUCUGAGCUCUCAACUGAAGAAGGGGAGAAUUUGCCUACCAGAAGUUAUUUGGCUAAGGCCCACGUGGAAGCUUAAAAAACAGGAGAGCUGAGUAUCUGCAAGAAUUAAUUUGUGCGAUUCCCUCUGAGUAGAAAAGGAACACGGUGUUAUAAGUUUUGCUGAACGAAUAGAUUUAAGGUUUUUAAUGGUUUGUCCAAAGUAGCCCCACUUUUAUGUUCCACCCGAGUCUCCGUAGGAAACGCAACCAGUAGUGAAAAUGAACAGAUGUGAAAACCAGGGUGGAACCGAAUAUUCCCAUUCUCAGACCUUUUGUGAUUAAAUUUAUCUCUGAAUUGUUCCCUAUGGACUCUUCUGAAAAUGAAACGUUAUUCUCAUCCCACUUAUUUUGACAUUUAUUUACUACCUUGUUUUAAUUAAAAUCUUGGCUCUAUUUGUAAGUGAUUUUUUCUCCCAACAAAACUAAA
rnacentral:lncRNA from 1 species